AUAAGACAUGCAAGUCGAACGAUUACUAUUGAGUAGCAAUAUUCGGUAGUGAGAGUGGCGCAAGGGUGCGUAACACGUGGGUAAUUUGCCGUGAAGUCUGGGAUAACUUGCUGAAAGGCGAGCUAAUACCGGAUGUGAUUUCUGGAAGGCAUCUUCUGGAACUUAAAGUCGGGGACCGUAAGGCCUGACGCUUCUCGAUAAGCCCGCGGCCUAUCAGCUAGUUGGUGAGGUAACGGCUCACCAAGGCUAAGACGGGUAGCUGAUCUGAGAGGACGACCAGCCACACUGGAACUGAGACACGGUCCAGACACCUACGGGUGGCAGCAGUCGAGAAUUUUUCUCAAUGGGCGAAAGCCUGAAGGAGCGACGCCGCGUGGGGGAUGAAUGGCUUCGGCCCGUAAACCCCUGUCAUUUGCGAUCAAACCUUACGACCUAACACGUCGUGAGCUGAUAGUAGCGGAAGAGGAAGGGACGGCUAACUCUGUGCCAGCAGCCGCGGUAAUACAGAGGUCCCAAGCGUUGUUCGGAUUCACUGGGCGUAAAGGGUGCGUAGGCGGUCGGGUAAGUCUGACGUGAAAUCUUCAAGCUCAACUUGGAAACUGCGUCGGAUACUAUUCGGCUAGAGGAAUGGAGGGGAGACUGGAAUACUUGGUGUAGCAGUGAAAUGCGUAGAUAUCAAGUGGAACACCAGUGGCGAAGGCGAGUCUCUGGACAUUUCCUGACGCUGAGGCACGAAAGCCA
rnacentral:rRNA from 1 species